rnacentral:rRNA from 1 species
CGUGUAGGCGGAUUGAUAAGUUUGAAGUGAAAUCCUAUAGCUUAACUAUAGAACUGCUUUGAAAACUGUUAAUCUAGAAUGUAGGAGAGGUAGAUGGAAUUUCUGGUGUAGGGGUAAAAUCCGUAGAGAUCAGAAGGAAUACCGAUUGCGAAGGCGACCUACUGGAACAAUAUUGACGCUGAGACGCAAAAGCGUGGGAGCAAACA